rnacentral:lncRNA from 1 species
AAAAAUGUGUCACUAACAUCUUUUGUUUGAAGCUUGAGUAUCAUCCAAGACACUUUGUGGGUUCUAUUUAGAUGAUCAGUCGACACAAGGGAAUGGCUUGAGAUACUUCCAACAAGUUCAAAUGGGGUCUAUUCGUUAGUCGAAACGUUAAUCUUGAAGGAGAAAAAGUUUGUUUUUGAACUGUCAUGCUCGCUAGGCGAAGCCCACGUGUUUAAAAAAAAAU